rnacentral:misc_RNA from 1 species
UCCGGCUUAUCACCGGCAGUCCCUCUAGAGUGCCCAACUAAAUGAUGGCAACUAAAGGCGAGGGUUGCGCUCGUUGCGGGACUUAACCCAACACUUCACGGCACGAGCUGACGACAGCCAUGCAGCAUCUGUGCACGCUCCCUUGCGGGUCCUUCCCCUUUCAGGGUCGUACCACGUGCAUGUCAAGCCCAGGUAAGGUUCUUCGCGUUGCGUCGAAUUAAACCACACGCUCCGCUGCUUGUGCGGGCCCCCGUCAAUUCCUUUGAGUUUUAGCCUUGCGGCCGUAGUCCCCAGGCGGAGCACUUAUCGCGUUAGCUGCGCCACUAAAAGGUUAAACCUUCCCAACGGCUAGUUCUCAUAGUUUACGGCGUGGACUAC